CCAGCAGCCGCGGUAAUUCCAGCUCCAAUAGCGUAUAUUAAACUUGUUGCAGUUAAAAAGCUCGUAGUUGAAUUUCUGCGUUGCCCGACUCGGCUACUUGCCUUGUCUGGUUUCGCUUUUGGGGUUUUCCCCUUUUUACUUUGAGAAAAUUAGAGUGUUUCAAGCAGACUUGUGUCUUGAAUACUUCAGCAUGGAAUAAUAAAGUAGGACUUUGGUUCUAUUUUGUUGGUUUGUGAACCUUAGUAAUGGUUAAUAGGAACGGUUGGGGGCAUUCGUAUUUAACUGUCACAGGUGAAAUUCUUAGAUUUGUUAAAGACGAACUACUGCGAAAGA
rnacentral:rRNA from 1 species